GAGUGAAAUAGAUCCUGAAACCGUAUGCGUACAAGCAGUGGGAGCCUACUUUGUUAGGUGACUGCGUACCUUUUGUAUAAUGGGUCAGCGACUUAUAUUCUGUGGCGAGCUUAACCGUAUAGGGGAGGCGUAGCGAAAGCGAGUCUUAACUGGGCGACCAGUCGCAGGGUAUAGACCCGAAACCGGGCGAUCUAUCCAUGGCCAGGGUGAAGAUUGAGUAACAUCAAUUGGAGGCCCGAACCCAAGUAUUUUGAAAAAUGCUGGGAUGAGCUGUGGAUCGGAGUGAAAGGCUAAUCAAGCCCGGAGAUAGCUGGUUCUCCUCGAAAGCUAUUUAGGUAGCGCCUCACGUAUCACCGCUGGGGGUAGAGCACUGUUUCGGCUAGGGGGUCAUCCCGACUUACCAAACCGAUGCAAACUCCGAAUACCAGCAAGUGUCAGCACGGGAGACACACGGCGGGUGCUAACGUCCGUCGUGAAGAGGGAAACAACCCAGACCGCCAGCUAAGGCCCCAAAUUCCUAGUUAAGUGGGAAACGAUGUGGGAAGGCAUAGACAGCUAGGAGGUUGGCUUAGAAGCAGCCACCCUUUAAAGAAAGCGUAAUAGCUCACU
rnacentral:rRNA from 1 species